CUCAUUCAAUACACAGGAUGGAUGGUGCUCACUUCAUGACUAAGGACCUGGGCUCUGGAAAGACUCCCAUUGACUUCUGAGGGCUUUGGACCGGGCCACUAACACUACUCAAGAACAUUGGCUGGUGGCUCAGCAUACACAAAA